AUUAUUAUUGUUAUUAUUAUUUUAAAGCUUGAGGAAGAUGUUUAGAGGAGGAAGGGUGGUGCAAGAUGGAGGGGAGAAAGAGAGAACAGCAGAAUGUGUUUUCUUUCUUUAAUUACCUUUUGUAGACCUAAUCUAAUAUGCUAUUUCUUUCUCCUCUUCUCAUGGAUGGUGAUGUGAAAUCUGGCUUUUUGCCUGUUACUUGGCAGAUAAGAGUAAUCGAACGCAAUUGUGAAAUUCCACAUGAAGG
rnacentral:misc_RNA from 1 species